rnacentral:lncRNA from 1 species
CCGGGUGUGGUGGCUCACGCCUGUAAUCCCAGCACUUUGGGAGGCUGAGGCAGGCGGAUCACGAGGUCAGGAGAUCGAAACCAUCCUGGCUAACAUGGUGAAACCCUGUCUCUACUAAAAAUCCAAAAAAAUUAGCCGGGCGUGAUGGCGGGCACCUGUAGUCCCAGCUACUUGGGAGGCUGAGGCAGGAGAAUGGCGUGAACCCGGGAGGCAGAGCUUGCAGUGAGCUGAGAUCAUGUCACUGCACUCCAUCCCGGGCGACUGAGCAAGACUCCGUCUCAAAAAAAAAAAAAAAAAAAAUCUCUAGAAACAUAUAUUUAAGUGUGACAUAGGCUGAACAUCCUGGCUCAAGCCUAUAAUCCAGCCCUUUGGGAGGUUCAGGUCAGAGAUUGCUUGAGCUGAAGAGUCUGAGGCUACACUCGGCCAUGAUAGCACCAUUACACUCUAGCCUGGGUUAAAGGGCAAGACCCUGACUCAGAAGCAAUAAAAUUGACAAAGACGGUUAGUACUUGUAAAAUAGUUUACCUGAAAAUAGUGUUGGCCGGGCGCCCAGGUGUAUGCCUGUAAUCCUAAUGCUUUAAGAGGCAGAGGUGGGGGGAUUGCUUGAGUCUAGGAGUUUGAGACCAGCCAGGGAAAUGUGACAAAACCCCAUCUCUAGCAAAUAUACAAAAGUUAGCCGGGCAUGAUGGUAUGCUUGUAGCCUCAGGUAAUCAGGAGGCUGAAGUGGCAGGACGGCUUCAGAUUGGGAGAUGGAGGUUGCAGUGAGCUGAGAUCUCACCACCGCACUCCAGCCUGGAUGACAGAGUGAAACCCUAUCUCAAAAAAUUUUUAAAAAGUACUAAGAAGCCCUAUAUCAAUAUUAUCUUUCUUGAUAACAGGUAUAGCUGGGCCAUCUUGUAGAGCGUGUGUGGUCUGUUCAUGUUCAGACAGGGCAGAAAGCCUACACAUUGCUGUACAGUGUUAGAAAUACAAGUGCAAUGACUUGUUAAUGAAUAUCAAAUCAGUGAUAAAGGAACCCAUUAUGAUAUACUUCUCAUUGUUCACAGAGGUCUUAUGGGAGAGAGACUCUUAGAAAGUAAAAAAGAUCAUCAGCAUGGAGAAAUUUUGACCCAGGUUCCAGAUGACAUGCUGAAGAAGAAAACUCCCCGAGUAAAAUCACGUGGAGAAGUCAGCGUGGGUCAUGCAUCCCUUAAUAGGCACCACAGAGCUGACACUGGACACAAGCCAUAUGAGUAUCAGGAAUAUGGACAGAAGCCAUAUAAAUGUACAUACUGUAAGAAAGCCUUCAGUGAUCUCCCCUACUUUCGAACACAUGAAUGGGCUCACACUGGAGGGAAACCUUAUGAUUGUGAGGAAUGUGGAAAAAGCUUUAUUUCCCGUUCAAGCAUUCGAAGACACAGGAUAAUGCACAGUGGAGAUGGACCCUACAAAUGUAACUUUUGUGGGAAAGCGUUGAUGUGUCUCAGUUUGUAUCUUAUCCACAAACGAACUCACACUGGAGAGAAACCAUAUGAAUGUAAACAGUGUGGUAAAGCCUUUAGUCAUUCUGGUAGCCUUCGAAUACAUGAAAGAACUCACACUGGAGAGAAGCCUUAUGAAUGCAGUGAGUGUGGGAAAGCAUUCCAUAGUUCCACAUGCCUCCAUGCACAUAAAAUAACUCACACUGGGGAGAAGCCGUAUGAAUGUAAACAGUGUGGGAAAGCCUUUGUUUCUUUCAAUUCCGUUCGAUAUCAUGAAAGAACUCACACUGGAGAGAAGCCCUAUGCUCACACUGGAGAAAAACCCUGUAGCUCCAACACUUCGAAAGGCCAAGGCUAGAAGAUCGCUUAAUUCACAUAAGAUUCCUAGAAGCCACUGAAUCCAAUCAUGGUAAAAAUGUGUUUCCCUCAAAUCAUGGGAACCAUCGCAAAAUUAUUCUGAAGCUUCUGCAGUCACUG